CUGAGUGCUUUCAGCUUCAUUGUGUUAUACUCGUUGCUGUUUCUUAAGUCAGAAAACCUUAUGGGCAGCCCAGUGUGUUUACAGCUGUGUCAGAAGUGCCAAUGCCUCCAGGCUCAUGUUAGCCUCGGUGCUCUCCUCAGGCUGUGAGAAGGUGGAGAAACUGAGGCACAGAAGAGUGACAAGUCCUGUCUAUCACUACACUGGAGGGACAGAACUGGUCAAAUAACUCGGAUUUUUUGAGUCUUAAAUCAGCUGUUAGCACCUCUUGGCCUGUGACUCCGACACUGGAAGAGUGCUGGGCACCGCAGGUGUCUUGAGAGGAUCUGGUGUAGGAACGAGAAGCACGUUCUGCUCUAUUUCCAUGGAAAUCUCUCUGAAGAUGAAGCUAAUUUGGAAGAAAAUGUUCUCUUCACAUCUAAGGCCCUUUUCGUAAAUGAGGACCUGUCCCUUGUGUCAAAUGCUGCAUAAACUCAGAAGGAACAGCGUGUCCUGCCCCAACAAGGCUUGCAGACAAGUGAGUUUUAUUCCUUCAAAUCUAACCAAAGGAAGCAGUGGCUGCAGUGCGUGCUGUGUCAUUAGUACACUCCUCAACACAUCAACCGAAGAAUCAAAGAAUAGGAACUGACAGAAUAACUGUUGUGUGGCGAUUUGGCAAGUAUCUCCUAAAAAAUAGAUGUUGUUCUGUGAAGGUAUGUGUGACUGAAAGAUUAGCUAAAAAUUUCCAAUCUCCGUUUUGUUUGUGUUUAAGGACUGGUAUUUUGUAUAGUUAAAAUUGCUACAGCUAUUUUCACCUCAACAAUUUGCAUCUGCUCUGAAAAUUUGAACAUGAAAAUCUAACAUGAAAAUUUAAAACCUUGGUACGAUGUAUGAAAUGAUGAUUAAUUCACAGCAUUUAUCUUGGUUUACUAAUCAUUCUGUUUUUAGCUGAUAAUUUUAUUUGUAAUCUCCACUGUUAAAUUGCCAUAAAAUAUCAUAGUACAAAGACAUUCAUGAGCAGUUGAAAGGAUAUGACACAUUGUAAUUUAGGAAUUAAUGCACACAUAAAAAAAGCAAAUUCAAGAG